rnacentral:rRNA from 1 species
GACGUAGGGCGCGAGCGUUGUCCGGAAUUAUUGGGCGUAAAGAGCUCGUAGGCGGUUUGUCGCGUCUGCUGUGAAAUCCCGAGGCUCAACCUCGGGCCUGCAGUGGGUACGGGCAGACUGGAGUGCGGUAGGGGAGAAUGGAAUUCCUGGUGUAGCGGUGGAAUGCGCAGAUAUCAGGAGGAACACCGAUGGCGAAGGCAGUUCUCUGGGCCGUAACUGACGCUGAGGAGCGAAAGCGUGGGGAGCGGACAGG